rnacentral:lncRNA from 1 species
GAAGAACAGAUUUUUUCAACUUUGAGUUGUUAAAACUCGAAAAUUUGAAUUGUUCGUUCUUUUUUUUUUUCGAGAAUUUGAAUUGUAGUUCUGGAAACACGUUUUCUUUUAUUCAAUAAGUUUAUAAUGAUCAUGGCUCAAAAUUUUCCACGCAGCUACAAUGUUGCAAGAAAAGAUUGCAAGUCUGCAGCACAUGAAGGAACAAUAUGGUAAUGGUAGCGCUUGUUCGAUAGCAAAACAGCAAGAUAAAUCAAGAUAAAUGCCAAAGGAUCAAAUUGCAACGUAGAAUCAAUUAAUACCAAAAUUUUCUCCUUAAUUUUAGCGCGUUUUUAGGGAAUAUUCUGCUCUUUUAAUGCCUAAUAGUCGAAUGGUAUAUAAAUUGUAGUUAAAGUGUGGACUGGGCGGGUAAUUAAUAAACUAUGCACAUUUAGGGUAAUAAGGUUUCCUAUACCACAUAUGAAACUUUAUUACUCUCAAUGUUUAAAGUUUUAUUUAAUUACAAACCCGUAUACCAAAUUACCAAUUCUAUACCAUACUUAAUUAAGGGUCUAAUUAAUGGGCUAUUUUUACUCCUUAAUUAAAGGUAUCCAUAUCUAAUUAAUGGGCAGUUUUUACUCCUUAAUUAAAGGUAUCCAUAUAUCUCACGUUUCUAAUUCUCUCUCCUUACCCCUCACCCACGUUUUUACCCAUACCCCACAUUCAUUUUACCAUUUUCCCUCUUCUGUAACCAAACAAAAUUCCCUCUUUCUGGAAAGUGAUUUGUUUGAAUUCCGUUUCGACGUCACCUGGUCGAAAGGUUGCAGGCAUCACCAUCGUGGCCAUCAAGUGUCAUAAAACAACAUGGUCGAUAUGUUAGUGUCGAUCCAAUUAAUGGAAAAAGAUGUGAUACUAAAUCACUUCUAAACUUCUUCUCAUAUUUCUUGAUUGGAAUGUUAUGAAUUGCUAUUUUGGCAUCUUUUAUUUGUAGUUUUUUGUAGAAGUUUUGUAGAUGAAGAACUAAUUGUAGGAAUGUGACAUCCACAAUUAAUCUGCAAAUUAUCUGCAAAAUUUUACAAAAACUAUAAAUUAACUACAUUAAACCUACAUUAUAACUACAAUCUGGAAACAAUUUACACAUGAAAGUUCUUCAAGUUGGAAUUGACCACAGCUACGUUUCUUGUUUUCUUGAAAGAAAUUUUGUAGUAAAUCCAUACAAUAAUAACGCCAAAUACUGGCGGUGGCUGUGGCCAACACCAAUUUGGUACAUAUACAACCCUGAAGAUUUCAUUAAGGAGUAGUCAUGGGCCUUUGACAAGGAUGAAGAUCGAAUAAGAAAGGUUGGUUUAUUUGUAGUUUUUUUUUUAGAAAUUUUGUAGAUGAAGAGAAAAUUUUGUAGUCUAACAUUUUUUUCCAACAUAGAUUAUAGUUUAAUUGUAGUAUAAAUGUAGUAAUUUUAUAGAUAUCCUUAAAAACAAUACAACUUUAUACAAUACUUAAAUUGAUUUGUAGUUUAUUUGUAGAAAUUUUGUAGAUAAGAGAAAAUUUUGUAGUCAACAUUUUUUUUUUCA